CCUAUCANAGGGGAAUAACAGUGAGAAAUCACUGCUAAUACCGCAUAUGCCAUAGUCAUCGCAUGAUGAUAGUGGGAAAGAAGCAAUUCGCUGAUAGAUGAGCUUGCGGCUGAUUAGCUAGUUGGUGGGGUAACGGCCUACCAAGGCGACGAUCAGUAGCCGGACUGAGAGGUUGAACGGCCACAUUGGGACUGAGAUACGGCCCAGACUCCUACGGAAGGCAGCAG
rnacentral:rRNA from 1 species